rnacentral:rRNA from 1 species
UACGUAGGGCGCAAGCGUUGUCCGGAAUUAUUGGGCGUAAAGAGCUCGUAGGCGGCUUGUCGCGUCGUUCGUGAAAACCUGCAGCUCAACUGCAGGCUUGCGGUCGAUACGGGCAGGCUGGAGUUCGGUAGGGGAGACUGGAAUCCUGGUGUAGCGGUGGAAGUGCGCAGAUAUCAGAGGAACACCGGUGGCGAAGGCGGGAUCCUGGCCAGUACUGACGCUGAGGAGCGAAAGCGUGGGAGCAACAGG